CUCCGUCACCGCGGCAGUCCCACGGUGGGGUGGACAAGGAUCCACGGCCUGAAUCCUGCCUCAAAGACCUCGUGGUCUAGUGUCAUAGGCUGCCCCCAGCAAGGGUGGAAUCUGAUGACCGCCGCGGGGUCCUCAAGUGGAGAUGGACUUCCAGCUGGGGUUGGGGACUCACUGAAGGGCACUGAGUGGAGGGCUCAUGGGCUGCAGAGAGCUCUGAGAGGAGAAAUUGUAGGGAAAGGACCAAGAGCUGGUUGGACACCCUGUGGACCGGAAAGAAUGCUGACUCAGGAGCCAGCUGUGUUUUGCAGAGCAGGCGCUGAGGCACGGAGAGAAGAAGUGGCCGUCCAGGGUCCCGCAGCCAGCGAGGGGUGGAGCGGGAUUUGAAUCUGCUCAGUCUGUGCUCUUAGCUGCCACACUAAUUCCUCCCAGCCUUGUUGUGGGGUUCAAAGAAAAUACUGUUCACAAAAGCACGUUGUAACCAAGGACCCACAAGAGUGCUAUGCAGGCUGUCAAUGCUGACUAAGAAGUCAGGCUUUUGAGGAUUUGUGACUCUUUCCUGGAGGCCUUGAGACGAAGGAGCCAGGAACGGCACCUUCAUCUGAUCCUGGAGCGUUGGGGAGAAGGAUCUGGCACCAUUUGGAGUGCUGAACCUCCUAGAGGUAAUGUCUCUGGAUCAGGUGUGAAGCGCUUGGCCCCUGGUUAGGGGCAGGACCUGCACUCCUGAAUGCCAGACGUGUUAUGGACGGAGAGAAACACCCACAAGAGAGCAAAGCUCUGGAAAAGAAGCAUGGCUUCGGGGGGACGGUGAGACUACGUCACUCCGCAAAGAUGGGAUGAAGGCAAACGGAAGGAGACAAAGCAGCGAUGUUUGUUGUGGGACAAGAGAGAUUUCCAACGGGACUGGCACAAGGGAGCUGAGGCUUCUUAUUAAGCAGCUACUGUGUACCAGGAACUGUGCAAAGCAAUUUCACAUGAAUUACCUCAAGUAAUACAAUAACUUUGGGCAGAACAUUCUAUUGUUUUCUUGUGUCCGUGCUCACGCAGCUAGCAAGGGUCAUAGCCAGAUCUACACUUGAUUCCAGAUCUUUCCGUUAUA
ensembl:lncRNA